AGCAGUGACAGGGAAACAGCAGCAGUGAGGUGGAAACAGUAGAAGGGAGGGGGAAACAGCAGCAGUGAGGUGGAAACAGCCGCACUGAGGUGGAAACAGUAGAAGUGAGGUGGAAACAGUAGAAGUGAGGGGGAAACAGCAGCAGUGAUGGGAAACAGUAGCAGUAAGGGGGAAACAGCUGAAGUGAUGGGAAACAGUAGCAGUGAUGGGAAAACAGUAGCAGUGAGGGGAAACAGCAGCAGUGAGGGGAAAACAGCAGCAGUGAGGUGGAAACAGUAGCAGUGGGGGGGAAACAGUAGCAGUGAGGGGAAACAGUAGCAGUGAGGGGAAAACAGCAGCAGUGAGGGGAAAACAGCAGCAGUGAUGGGAAACAGUUGCAGUGACAGGAAAAUAGCAGCAGUGAUGGGAAACAGUAGCAGGACAGGGAAACAGCAGCAGUAAGGGGAAACAGCAGCAGGGACAGGGAAACAGAAAGUGAGGGGGAACAGCAGCAGUGAUGGGAAACAGCAGCAGUGAUGGGGAAACAGCAGCAGUGAUGGGAAACAGUUGCAGUAAGGGGGGAACAGUAGAAGGGAGGGGGA
rnacentral:lncRNA from 1 species